CCAACGGCCCUCUUUAGGGCCACAAAUCCUGUCGAAUACUUUAAA
rfam:Dictyocaulus viviparus strain HannoverDv2000 D_viviparus-1.0_Cont428.9, whole genome shotgun sequence.